rnacentral:rRNA from 1 species
UAGGGAAUCUUCCACAAUGGACGCAAGUCUGAUGGAGCAACGCCGCGUGAGUGAAGAAGGUUUUCGGACCGUAAAGCUCUGUUGUUGGUGAAGAAGGAUAGAGGUAGUAACUGGCCUUUAUUUGACGGUAAUCAACCAGAAAGUCACGGCUAACUACGUGCCAGCAGCCUCGGUAAUACGUAGGUGGCAAGCGUUGUCCGGAUUUAUUGGGCGUAAAGCGAGCGCAGGCGGAAGAAUAAGUCUGAUGUGAAAGCCCUCGGCUUAACCGAGGAAUUGCAUCGGAAACUGUUUUCUUGAGUGCAGAAGAGGAGAGUAGAACUCCAUGUGUAGCGGCGGAAUGCGUAGAUAUAUGGAAGAAUACCAGUGGCGAAGGCGGCUCUCUGGUCUGCAACUGACGCUGAGGCUCGAAAGCAUGGGUAGCGAACAGGAUUAGAUACCCUGGUAGUCCAUGCCGUAAACGAUGAGUGCUAAGUGUUGGGAGGCUUCCGCCUCUCAGUGCUGCAGCUAACGCAUUAAGCACUCCGCCUGGGGGAGUACGACCGCAAGGUUGAAAC